rnacentral:tRNA from 2 species
GGGCUUGUAGCUCAGUUGGUUAGAGCAGAGCGCUCAUAACGCUUUUGUCGGUGGUUCGAGUCCAUCCUGGCCUACCA